rnacentral:rRNA from 1 species
GAUGAACGCUGGCGGCGUGCCUAAUACAUGCAAGUCGAACGAAACUUCUUUAUCACCGAGUGCUUGCACUCACCGAUAAAGAGUUGAGUGGCGAACGGGUGAGUAACACGUGGGCAACCUGCCCAAAAGAGGGGGAUAACACUUGGAAACAGGUGCUAAUACCGCAUAACCAUAGUUACCGCAUGGUAACUAUGUAAAAGGUGGCUAUACUACCGCUUUUAGAUGGGCCCGCGGCGCAUUAGCUAGUUGGUAGGGUAAAGGCUUACCAAGGCAAUGAUGCGUAGCCGAAUUGAGAGGUUGAUCGGCCACAUUGGGACUGAGACACGGCCCAAACUCCUACGGGAGGCAGCAGUAGGGAAUCAUCCACAAUGGGCGAAAGCCUGAUGGAGCAACGCCGCGUGGGUGAAGAAGGUCUUCGGAUCGUAAAACCCUGUUGUUAGAGAAGAAAGUGCGUGAGAGUAACUGUUCACGUUUCGACGGUAUCUAACCGGAAAGCCACGGCUAACUACGUG